rnacentral:rRNA from 1 species
AGGGAUCUAUUACCGAGUUAUCCAACUCCCAACCCCUGUGAAUUAUACCUUUAAUUGUUGCUUCGGCGGGACUUCGCGCCCGCCGGGGACCCAAACCUUCUGAAUUUUUUAAUAAGUAUCUUCUGAGUGGUUUAAAAAAAAAAUGAAUCAAAACUUUCAACAACGGAUCUCUUGGUUCUGGCAUCGAUGAAGAACGCAGCGAAAUGCGAUAAGUAAUGUGAAUUGCAGAAUUCAGUGAAUCAUCGAAUCUUUGAACGCACAUUGCGCCCGUCAGUAUUCUGGCGGGCAUGCCUGUUCGAGCGUCAUUACGCCCCUCAAGUCCCCUGUGGACUUGGUGUUGGGGAUCGGCGAGGCUGGUUUUCCAGCACAGCCGUCCCUUAAAUUAAUUGGCGGUCUCGCCGUGGCCCUCCUCUGCGCAGUAGUAAAGCACUCGCAACAGGAGCCCGGCGCGGUCCACUGCCGUAAAACCCCCCAACUUUUUAUAGUUGACCUCGAAUCAGGUAGGACUACCCGCUUGAACUUAAGCAUAUCAAAAAGC